UGCGAGCGUAUCUGGCGGAGGCCAUCAUCAUCCACAGCAUCCCAUUCGCAAACCCAGGGCGUCCAUCGCCUUGGUGCAGCGCUUGCACAUCCUCGCACGCGCAUCUUUGUGUGGUUGUGCGCCUGCGCCGGCGUGGGCUGCUCACGUGCAGUGAUAGAGUGUGAGGCGUGAGAUGCAUCAAUCGCAGUAGCGCCUUCGUAAUGCAUCGUCCCUCAUCUGCGCCUGCAUCGGCAGUGGCGCGCGCAUCGCUGGCGUCGCCUGUGCGUCGCCAAGGUGUCGACCCUCACGCGCGGGGUGCUGCCCGUACACCGCGCGCAGCUGCGAGCGACCAAGAAGUUGCGCUGCCCUCUUUCCUGAACCGAUUCUUCCACGGCGCAUGUGACAGUGACGGCUGGAGCAGCGACAUCUUCGCCAACCGCGUCCACUCCAUCGGUGCGUCGAGAAGGUACUCGUCGGUGGCUCUUUAUAGCUCUUUCUCACGCUCAGCAGCAGCGUCUGUCACGCUCAGCUCCUUUUCCGCCGCCUCCUGCGCCGGCUCGACGACGGCUGUGCGAACGUUGGGCCGCAACUUCUACUCAGGUCUUGAUGAGUCCCGUGUGCACCGUCUGAGGCGCUCCGGCAUGACCUUCAACCGACCCCGCGGUCGCGACACCUUCUCCGCGGCGUUUGAGAGUCGCCUGCGUAUCGUGCCGCUGACGCAGAUGUCUGACCUUUACGGCCCCAUCGACGUCUCACUCCUUACUGCUGUCAACGCCGACGACCCGACGAGCAGCGAGGGCAACCCACUCGAGAAGAAGAAGUACAUGGCAGGCGACGCACGCAUGCGGAAGGUGUUGGAGGACAAGCAGCGAGCCGAGGCAGCGCUGUAUGAGAAGCGCGACUGGCACGUGCUUGUGGUGGACCCCAUUGAGCUCCGUAUGGUCCCGGCACCGCUGCCGUUUCCGAGUCCGCAUCCGGCGUACUACCACGACUGGGCCACCGUAGAGGGCGAGCGAUGGUCGUCCUCUCGGGUGCUAGAGCGCCGACCCACUGCGGAGUUCGGCAUCCCCAUGCCGAACGCGCUGGCAGAGACGACUGGGGCAGGCACCGGGGCCGCACUUGUUGCUGAUGCUGCUGCGGACGUCGCCGACGGCACCGUCGCCAACGUUGACGCACCCGAGUCACUUGCCUUCUUCUACACCGCGGGCAACCGCCGUCACCUGCAGCAGAACGGUGAUACAACGCUCUUGCCCGCUGCGCAGGUGCGGCAGACGACGCCGAGCAUACCGAACUUAGCGUCUACCGCGGCUCAGUCGCUUCCUUCCUCGCCGCAGACGAUUCGCCAACACUUCCACACCGCCGUCUGCGUCGACCCGGACAUCAGCCACGACCGCUUUCACCGCGAGGAGGCUCAGGUGGAGAUGAUCUCAGCGUACCGCAACAUUCUUUACGAGGCUUUUGAGUUGGGGCACGCGCCGCCAUCAGUGUCGUCCGCGUCUGCCGCGGGCAGCCUGCGGCGGACGGCGGUGACGCAGGGGACCGUGCCGUUUGUGGCGGAUGUGGUGCGCGUGCCGGCGCUGUGCCACUACUCCUGCGGCCGGCGCUUUCUUCACGAGCUGGGCAAGCUGAACCAGCAGGCUGUCGUGAAGGGGUUCCAUCGGCUGAGCAACGAGGCGAAGGAGGCGCUCAUCAUGAACCGAAGCUUCACUGUGGAGAUCUACGUGCCACCGAUGCUGCUGGAGCAGUUCGAGCGCGCCUUUCUCGAGGAGCCGUGGGAGGUGCCGCUUUCGACGCUGAAUCCCGGCCGCACGGCGCUGUACCCGGGUCUGGCGCCGCCGCGGUCGUUGCUGGAGUACGAUGGGUGGGUCGGCAAGCGUCCGGAGUUGGUGGAGGGCGUUGCAACGCAGGGGAAGAGCCUCCUGCGCGGUGCGAAGGUCGGGCUGGACGGGCGGCUGAUUGAAGAGCGCGAGGUUCUGGCGAACCUUCGCGUAUUUGGCGCCCGCGAGGAGCAGCAGCAGAUGCUGGAAGGAGAGCGGAAGACUGCGGCAGAGCAGCUCGGUGUGCCGCUACAGCCGACGUACGCUCCUCUGCACGCUGGUUUGCUGGCGGAGGUGGAGCCCCAUGCGAGCGAAGCGCUCCCCGAAAAGCCUUCCGGAAUUUACGCCGACGGGGACCCAGCAGCAGUGGCGAUGAGCGCUGCAGAGAGCGCCAAGCGAACGCCCGUCCAACACUCAAGGUGAUCUGUAUACCUAUAUAUGUGUCUCAGUGCGCGCAGCUGGUACGUCGUGUUCGCAUCCCCUUCGCCGCUGUUUUCCUUUUGGAUCCUACUUG
rnacentral:misc_RNA from 1 species